rnacentral:rRNA from 2 species
GAUCAAGUGUCGUAAGGGUAUUUAGUGGAUGCCU